CCAGGGCAGGCCUUUUAAGGCUUCAGUCUGGUUAGGGAGCCCAGGAUCCUCGGAACUCAUCCAGAUUCCACGUGCAGCUCCACUCAGCCUUCUGCCGCCUCCCCCACAGGCGGGGUGCUGCACAGGGGUGCGUGUGCAGGGGAGGAAGGCGCGGCUGGUUGACCUCGGCCUUCUAUUCACCUAGACAAGGAAGGAGGGACCCUUAGCCAUUUGCACCCAACUCUUGAGCCCGGAGCGGGGGUGGGGAGUGGCGGGAGGGAGGAGGGGGAGGAGAGCGGAGGCGCCGGGGAAGCCAGGCCGCCGGACGGCUUUGGAAGAAGGGCCGAAGGCCGUGACCAAGAUCUGUGGCUUGCUGCAAGUCUGGCAUUUCCUGGGAUCCGGGCUUGCUGUGGGGCCGCGGCCGCCCUAGGCACCCAAUGUGCGAGCAGACGGAGCUGCGUCGGGAGACCCGACCAAGGUCAAAUCCAGGGCCAGGGGCGCCCGCGAGCCGCGAUGCAACCUGCGCCUGGGAGCCGGAGCGCCGCGCUUUACGUGCACUGGCCAUACUGUGAAAAGCGCUGCAGUUACUGUAACUUUAACAAGUAUAUCCCCCGAGGGCUAGAUGAAGACGCUAUGCAGAGAUGCCUUGUGAAGGAGACAGCUACCCUGCUGAAACUCAGUGGAGUGCAACGGAUCGACUCUGUGUUCUUUGGUGGGGGGACACCGAGCCUGGCCAGCCCUCACACAGUGGCCUCAAUCCUGGAGGCUAUUGCCCAGACCACCCAGUUGCCUGCCAAAGCCGAAGUUACUCUAGAAGCCAACCCGACCUCAUCGCAGGCAUCAAGGCUGGCUGCCUUCCGAGGGGCAGGUAUCAACAGACUAUCCAUUGGUAUCCAGUCCUUAGAUGAUACAGAACUCCAGCUGCUAGGCAGGACACACUCAGUGUCAGAAGCCUUGGGGACUUUGGAAGAGGCACGGCUUCUGUUUCCAGGGCGCACAUCUGUGGAUCUCAUGUUUGGCCUCCCAGCGCAGCAGGUGGAACCAUGGCUCAGGCAGCUGCAGGAGCUACUUUCCCUCUGUGAUGACCACGUCUCUCUCUACCAGCUGACCGUGGAGAGAGGCACUCUGCUCUUUGCCCAGAUCCAGCGAGGGAUCCUGCCCUCCCCAGACCCAGAAGCUGCAGCGGAGAUGUACCACGAUGGGCGAGAGGUCCUGAGAGAGGCAGGCUUCCGCCAGUAUGAAGUUUCCAACUUUGCCAGAAAUGAAGCUCUCAGCACCCAUAAUUGGACCUAUUGGCAAGGUGGUCAAUACAUAGGUGUUGGGCCUGGUGCCCACGGGCGAUUUGUGCCUCAAAGGGACGGAGGGAGCCUACGGGAAGCUCGAGUCCAGACAUUGGAACCUGAUAAUUGGAUGAAGGAAGUUUUAAUGUUUGGACAUGGCACCCGGAAGCGAGUCUCCCUGAGUGAGCUGGAGCUAUUGGAGGAGGUUUUGGCUCUGGGCUUACGUACAGACAUAGGAAUCACUCACCAGCACUGGCUGUACUUUGAGCCCCACUUGUCCCUGUGGGAUGUGUUUGGGGAAUCUGAGGAAGUGAGGGAGCUCCGGUCACAAGGCCUGUUGCUGCUGGACCACAGUGGACUUCGGUGUUCCUGGGAAGGUCUGGCCGUGUUGGAUACCAUACUGCUGAGACUCCUCCUCCAGCUCCAGAAUGCCUGGAAAAACAGGCCUCCUCCACCUUCAAGGUCACCGAGUCAGGAGCUGCCUCCCGAAGCGGGGAUUCAUGCUUGGACUAGGUGACCUCUGAGAUGAAGAAACUGAGGCUUAUUGAGGUUAGCCAGCAAGUAAGUCCCUCUUUGAAUCCCCUGCUUACCUUCAAGACUCAGCUCAAGUGCCAGGUAUAGUGGCACAUGCCUGCAAUCGCUAUGGAGGCUGAGGCUGGGGAAAGAGAUGUGGACCAGAAUCUUCACCCAUGUGACCCCAACUCAAGAUACACAAUUUUCUCAGGAGGGCAAUCCAAGUCUCCCAGGAAUUCUCCACCUAAUGUCUCUUCAUAAGCUAAGAAUUAAACUAAGUUUUCUAGAAAUA